CAUGUUUGUUUUUGCAACUAGAACAGUAGUUGUGGAUCUUUGAAUCUGAAGUGAAGUUACCAAAGAUGGUUUGCUCUGGAUCUGAGUAGCUGAACAAAUUCAGAAAGAAACUUGGCAGCAGACCCAAGCACAGCAGUUACUAGGAUAUGUUGUCAUUACAUUUGGUCCAACAUACUAGAAGCACUCAGGAAAGACUUCCAAGACACAAGCCAAAUCCGCUAGAUCUUCAUUUCUCCAGGAAUUUAGUUUUGAAUAUGCCAGAUGAGUUUCAGGCUUGUGCUGUAUCAAACAGUUUCAAGAGGAGCUAGAUGCUUGCAGCAUGGGAUGCUUAUCUCCACUGAAAAAGCCUGUUCCAUCAGGCUAGCACCCCUGGAGGCAGCCGAAGAUUACCAGCCUGUCUGAAACUUUGGAGUCAGCUGCAUACAGUGAUCAAGGAACAGAUGGCAGAAUCUCAGGCUCAUCACUCAUCUAAGAGCCAGCUUAAAGUGCGGUUUGAGGACUCCAAAAAAAGCAACGCAGUUCUUAGGUCCAUGAAAGUGCAACUCAGAGACAACAGCAUAGCUAAUGGCCAAGUUCCUUAUUCAACCUUAGACAAUUUUCAUAUGAAGAUCAAUGAACAAUCUUCCAGCUGAGAGAGCUACAUAAAUAUAAAUGCCUGCUGCAGUCCACAGAGCUGAAAAGUAACACGACUUUUCCUUCACAAUGAACUUGCCACCUCCAGUUUGAGUACAUUACUUGGCUCCGCCUAUUACUGGGCUUAGAAUUUAUAUGCUGGAUUCCAGAAUUAAUCCAAGAUGCUAUAUUGGAUCAGUUCAGAUGCUGGCCAAAGCAGAUGUCAUCCUGGAACUCACUUGCAGCAACAGACAGGAUAAAUGCCCUCCCCUGCAGAGUAAUUGACUUAGAUGUUAUUGGCAUAAAUGUUCUUCAGAUAUUACUGAGUUUAAUUAAAGGUCAUCUUCCUUAUCUGUCAGGAAUGGGUUAGCACCCAGCUAAAAGCAGUUACACACUGUUUGGGCUUCAGCUUUCUCUGCCAGUCACUAUCAAUGAUUCAACUGCUAGCACAGUACCUCAGAUGCUUACUGGGAGUAUAAGAAAUAACUGUAUUUCCCAUACUCUGCCUUGCAAUUCUAAUGAUGCAGCAAUUUCUUUCUGCCCUAGUCUCUCUUCUCCUACAUUAUGUGAAAUGCUGUUUCAAUUUUUUAUUCACUUAUUCCUGACCCAAUAAACUCAUCUGUUUCCCUGA